UUUUGUUUUUUGUUUUUAAAUAACAGGCCUCCCAUAUAUUUGGGAACAGAGGCAGAGAUAGAUAGGCCUGGUGAAGUACACACUGGAGAUCAAUUUAGGCCAUGUUUUGCAAUGGUCUCUAUAGUGUUGGACCCAUGUGCCCCUGCUCAGCUCAUUGCAGGAUCAAGUGUAAAUUAUGCUCCCCAUGCCCCCCUUGCUUGGGUGAAAUGGCCCAAGAGUGAGACCUUUAUAACUCUCUGGCAUUCAUUAAUGUUACAUUUCCUGAGCGAAUAAGUCUGUCAGGUUUCCAUCAGUUACUACUAUGUCUAUAUAUAGCUUUCCUUUAUAAAAAUAAAAGCUUAUGGUACUUGAGCAGUGUUCUAUUCCAUGACCCCUGGCUUCAUAUGAAAAGGUACAUAGGAAAAACUGCCAGAGGAGCGGGGAGCCAUGCAUGCAGGCACUAGGGACAAGUCAUUCAUGUGUGUAACUCUUCAUGCAAAUGGCUCUCUAAGAAAUAAAAGCAGUUGAAAUUACAAUAUUAAUUUUUAGAUUAGGUGGGAAGUCUGUUUCACUGCAGCUAAAUAAUUUCUUACCAUCACUUUAUGCUAAAUGUGGAGCCUUGCACAGAAUUUUUACUCACUAAAAGUAUUUCUUGCUGUCAUCUCUGGCUAGGAGAUCAAAUAAACAAAGCCUGUGACUGAGAGAUAAUGAAGCUUCAGUAUUUCUGGUUUUGUUUAUCUGAUCUUAUAGAAGAAAGGUACUCACAGCAUUGCUAUGAAUAACUAUGUGAAAUGCAUCAAAUUAUGAAAAUAUUUGUUUCUGAAUGUAAAGUUACACACGCUACUCUAAAGCAAAUGUAAUGCUAUUUUAAUAUUUCUCUAGCAUCUUUAGGCAAGGAACUCAGUGUUUCCAGACUUAGGAACUGAUCUUACCAGCUUGUCCAUGCAGGCAGAGCCUAUAGGGCUCUGCAUGAGCAAGAUUCCUGCCUGCGCAGAGCAGACCUCAGGAGUGGGGCUCAAGCACCUUAGGCAGUCCCACAAUGCCCCUGUGAGGCAGGUAAAGUAGCUCGAUGGUUAAAGAGAGGCACAGAUUGUCGCUUGCCAAAGGCCAGACAAGGAGACGGUGGUAGAACUGAAGAGAGUGCUUGAGAGUCCUGCUCCCAGUGCUGUGCUUUAACCAAAUGGCUCUGGAGGUAUAAUCACCCUAAGGCCGAGGGAGGCUCUCAAGGGCUGGAACAUUGGGCCAUGUCUGCAUUUCUAAAACAUUUUUCUCCUAAGGUCUGACUCAAAGAUGCAACUAGCUGAUGACUAGUCUGUAAUCCUGUAUGUAACUAGUGAGUGCUCUAACUGCAAGUCCUAACAGACAGGGCAGCACAAAUAGCUUCCCCACCCUAAUGGGCAAAGAUGUGAUGGAGACUGAACUUCCCCCUCAUCUCUCCAGCAUACAGAGCAGACUGGGGCACAUGAGGAAGCUCUAGUGAAUGUAUUUCAGGGCUAAAUAGAAGGCUUCAAGUUCCACUUCCCUGCAUGUGGCACCUUUCCAAAGCAAUCAGUAGAUCUUAUUUUUUAAAGAUGAUGAUGUGCCGAGGAGUUUUGAAAAUAGAGCUUGGCCCUUUUGAUUCUGCGGUGUCUGAAAAAGGCUUGACAGGGUUUUGUUUAGGGUCGGGACUUCAUUUGGUUUUUACUUUCAGGCAAUGUCUAAACUAUGCACUGGGGAUACGAUUCCCCUGCUCAUGUACACGUAUGCAAGCUGUCCUUGAACUAGUAUGGGUAUAAAUAGUGACGCCGCAGCAGUGCGGGUAGCCGAAGGGGAACCAUGGCUGAGCCAAACGGGUCUGUACUAGGCACAGCUCAGCUGUGCCUCCUUGCUACCACAGCUACGCUGCUGUUUAUACUUGUGCUUGCUCCAUGAGAGCUGGUGUCAGUGUGAAUACAUGAGCAGGGGCACAACAUCCCUACCUCAUAAUGUAGACAUAAGCCUCAGAAAUAUUGGGACUCUCAAAGCUGCUCUUCCCUUGUUUUGCUAGUGGACCUCUUGGGGAGGGGUGUGGGUGUGAGUGAGUGCAUCUGUUCCGUGAGUUCUUGCACUUGAGAGGGGUGGGGCUGCUCAAUCUGUGACAUGUUUCCUCCAGAAUGUAUGUUAGUCAUUGAAGUAAAGCAGGCAUGAACAGAAACUAGCAAACCAGUGCGUUAAGCAGCCUGACUAACAAUCCCUUGCCCCCUCAGCUGUUGUGGUGUGCAUUUAUCGAAAUGCAUCCGGUGAAGUGAGCUGUAGCUCACGAAAGCUUAUGCUCAAAUAAAUGUUAGUCUCUACGGUGCCACAAGUACUCCUGUUCUUAUUUCACUGUCAUUCAUUCAUGACAUUCAGGACUGAUGAAACCUGAAUUUCUAACACAAAAAACCCCCAUGGGGCAUGGGGGGAGACAACUGCCUGUCCAGACUUCUUUAGCCCCCAGAAGAAAGCAUAAGCAAGGGAUACAAACCCAAUUUCCCACCCUUUGUGCAGGUCCCCUUUAAAGUAGGCUGUGUCUUGACAGUAAAUGUAAAUGCUGGGUGUGUCUUGCUAGCAUUUGCCCAGCAGGGGGAGAUGUACUAGAAGAGAGCAAUGCAUAGCAAGAGCAAAAUAACAUGCUGCUGCUAAAUGCUAGCAGAGAAAAGUGAUUGUUAGGGCCAAAGAUGACAGGCAAUGAAUGGAACAAAAGUGAGCAGUGAGGUUAGGAAGUGAUGCGUAGUUAGUCAGGGGAAUAAUCCCAAAUGCACAAGGACAGGGCAGUUUCUCUCUCCUGUUGGACUAUAAUAGAGGACAAAUGGCCCUAGACUGUAUAAAUGUCUAAUGAUCUGAAUUAAAUGAUAAAUUUAACUUCUGUAGCCUAGCUCAUAACAAAUUCAUCCCUUUAUAUGUGUGUUUCUCUCUGUACACAGGCUGAAAAAUUAGCAGUGCUAUGAAGAUGGUACUAUUAGCUAUUUUAAAACAAAGCCCUUAGAAACUCAGUCCUUAAACUAGCCCAGAUUUGCCAGUGAAACAAAGAACUGAAUGAAGUGUCUGGGGAAGUCUUGUAACAAUGCCACUUAAUACAAGGUACUUAAACUAACACAACAAUAUAAGGGAUUGGAUGCUGAUUCAGCUGCAUAAGGAAAAUGGAAAUUAUACUGGCAUGGUUACAGAGCUAACUGCCCCCUUGGCCCUGCUCCCCACAUGCUCUACUCACCCCAGUAUUUCUCAUCAGUUGGGGCAGCCGUGAGGGGCUUGUCCCCCUGCAGAACAGGCCUUAGCCAAGCAAUGCCUUUUGUAAAUGAGGGGUCCCCAACUUUUGCUACGUGUGAAAUCUCAAACCUUCCCCUGAGUUGAGUUCCAUUCUCUGCCCCUCCCCUGAGUGGGGUCAGGAUCCCCUCUGGCAACACCCCAGCUCCCCCAGUGAGGGGUGGCAGUGGACUAGCCCUUUGACUGCCUGGGCUUGCACCCCGCAUGGAGGCUGUGGGGCCCCUUUGUUCCAUAUCUGCUGAGUAGAGGUGAGCCUGCUUCUUCUCCCAUCUGACUCAAGGACGUUUCUAUUGGGGAUCUGGCUGUAUUUUACUCACGGGGUGCAGCAGGAUAGGUGCACAGAUCUCUAAAGUAUGAAUUCAGUCACAUGUGCAUUUAACCUCCCCUUUGGGGCUAUAUCCUCAUGAUUAGCCUGCUGCAUUGGAGGGCCAACAUCCCAGCCCUCCUCUGGCCUGAAUAUCAAUAUGCUCACCUGCCAGGGCUCCAUGCCAGUGUCUGAGCCCUGGGCAGUUGGCCUAUUGGUGUCCUGAUCCCUGGCAGCUAGAACACCUCAGAUCUCUGGUCUGUUUCCUGCCACCUCAGUCCAGUGUUGGUCCUUGGUUCCUUUCCUGAGUGUCAGAAUACAUUGGAUUAACUGAUGUGGUCAGCUCUUGAGAAUUGAGCUGCCUGUCAGCAUAACUCCGCCUGCUGACUUUUCUUGAGUUGCUUGUAACUCAUCCUUCAUGUCCAUCUUUUCCCUAUUUUCUUCCUGGAAAAGAAUAUAGGGCUGUUUUUCUCUUUUCUUUUCUUCUGCAGUAUUUGCUUUUACAGCUCUUGACACUUCACCACUGUCCCCAUCUCACUGUUGCCUCCGAAUAUAUCCCAGUUACGACACUAACUACACCUCUGGCCACUCCUGGUCCCUUGAAACAGCCCCCCCCCCCCCCCACACACACACCCACGCAAGGUCUUGGGCCUUUAGCCAUCUGGAAUCACACAAUUCUCUCACGCUCAGAACGGCCUCUGGGUUGCAGUAUAUCAACAGAGAUUAUCUCAGCAGGUCUGACUUUGGUUCAGACCCUGCAGUUUUGUUCCCUCUAGAGCUAGGAUGAUAGUAUCCAGAUACCAAACAGCCCCCUUGGAGCAAAGUAUUUAUUUAGAACAAAAGCGUUUCAGAGAAAACAGACCUUAAAAAUGAUCAACCAGGCUAUAUGCAUGACUGCCUUUCCCUAAGGCUUAUCCUUCCCUGGAUCUAGGAGCCAAUGCUUUCCAACUCCUCCAGAGUCUCUCCCUGGGCAGCACCCAAUUGACCUCAUUUGUCCCAAGGAAGGUUUUUUAACGGUUUCCUUUUCUUUUGAUGUCCAGUCUCCCAGUGUGGCAAAACAACUGUCACUUUGGCCUGGAGUCUGAAAGUAGGCCAUUGUCAUUGAUGUGUAUACUGGGGUGUUCUCAUCUGGGGAGCCGUUUCAUUGCCUUCCUGUUUGUUCUUCCCAGACCAUCUAUUAAACGAGAUCAAUGCAUUUAUACAGGCAAGUCUUACUACCCACUAUACAAUAACUUCACUGACCAGGUCACCUGCAGUGUUCAUCAAAUUAUUACAUCUCAGUAUGCUUAGAUUAUUACGUGGCAGCUUCUCAUCCAUCUCAUAUACCCACCUUUGCUUAUGGGAUCAGAUUCAGUUAAAACUUCCUUGUCUCUCUAAUUAUAAAUUGUUCAAUUACAAAAUAAACACUGCAGUGGUAUUCAUCAUUGUACCUACUGGACAGCACAUGCAUACAUAGUUGCAUACAAUACACACAGUAAACCAGCUUAUUUCUGGCUUUGGUAAAAGACUUGCCAAAGAAGAGUACAUAAGAUGCUAUCAAUCAUUUUAGAAAUUUCAUUAUAAAGGGUUGGUGUAUUCUAGAUGGUUGUAUCUUGGUGAACAAGCAGAUAUUAUUCAAAUUAGGUUUGUAUUAUCACUACCAUAAUGACUCUUAACUCUGGAUGUGCGUGAUGGGCUAAAUCUUCCAGUGCUUCAUUGGGAGUUUUGACUAUAAAUGGACUGCAGGAUUUGGGGACAUAAGUCAUACCUAGGGCACGGCCUAGGAAAUAGCUGGGAACAAAAUGGUAAAACGUGUCACAUGAUGUGACACUUGCAUCUGAAAUCAAAAGCAUUUCACAGCUUCUCAUGUGCAAAAUGAUCCUUAGGGUAGUUUCUCACGAAAAAAGACACUGUUUUAAUCCUCCUUCAUUUUAAUGUCUGCUUAAGGAGUGAUUUAUCCAUGGCAGGGUUUACCUAAAGCCUCCAUUGUUAAUGCUAAAUCUCUCCCUUCAUUAUAACCGCUAAUAAAUAUUUGAUGGUGAAAUUCACAAAUUAGGUGACUGGGGCACAAUAGAUAACUUAGUUAUUUCUCACCCUUGGGGGCAGAAAUGUCAGAUUGAUGGAACCUAUCCUGAACAGAUGGCUGCUUGUCUCAGCUCAAUUUGUGAGGGAGGGAAUAUAACCCACCAUCCAGUAUUAUCAGGCUUUCCAUCCAUUCAUCUGAUGUUAUUUGCAUUUUAUUUUUCUUUUCUCAAAGGAGAUGGAGGACCAGGAUUUCAUGAUUUAACAUGCAAGACCUGCUGCCCUGAGCCCUGCACAUGCAGUGGUUGGACAGUUGGUGUUGCCGGUCAGGUCCUGAAUCACAAAGAAGGAAAGAGGCUCCAGAAGCCAUCCCUUGUUUGAAAGACUAGAGAGGUGGUUGAGGCAACAUGUUAAUAACAACAAAUUUCAAAUUUAUGAUCUGACAUGCAUGCCUCGAACACCUGAAGCCUGAUUUUUCUCAUUGUCCUGCACCUUGGAUCAUCAGUUAUAUCGUGCAAAAUGGGUGUGAAAUGUACCAAAGUUAGCAUGGUAUUGUUUGUAAGUGAUGUAGGGCAAUUCAGAACCAGGCCCUCAAACUCUCUAGUUAAUUGGAGCAAAUGACAAUUCCCUUGUCUGCCUGGGGAAAUUUACCAGGAUUACUACUAGUUUAAUUAUACCUGUAUACAUCCUUAUGUGGACAGCUCAGAAUAUCAGUGACCUUUUCUUCUGUAUAAGAAAAAUCGAUGAAGGGCCACUGUUCUUCUGGAUAAGUGUGUCCAUGUGGGAAGUAAUUGUAUUGGUAUAGUAAUGCUGGUAAAUUUCCCCACGUAGACCAGCCCCUUUGUACAAGGAAUGCAGAAUUAGGCUUUAGACCUACAGAGAAAAUAAUCUGAGGCCAUACAAGAAAGGUGCGUUUGUUUAACUAGAUUGACUUAAAAAUCGGUCCUGUUAGCACAUUCAGCUGUGUUAUUUGGAGACACUGGCCUGUCUGGAAGUAGGGAUCAGCAAAAUUCUAAUUCGUGUAAAUAAAACCUGCUUUGCAGCUAGAUUUUUCUCCCCUAGGAGGAUUCGGAGUUGUCUCCCUGUAAGCCUUCUAGUUUUAGGGUUUACAUAAACUAAAUCAAAGUAAGGUAAGGAUUAAACUGAUUUAAGCGUAUCUGCAUUGGGGGUUAGCACCAACAAGACUGAUUUUUAAACUGAUUUAGUUACUCCAGAUGAGGCCUAAACCCACAUGUAAGUGAGGAAUUAUUUUGGCUGGUGUUUUAUGGUGGUCUCUCUCCCUGCUCCCCAUUAUAGUUAAAUCAGACCAGUUUCAGUCGGGGGGCUUGAACAGAAGAUCUCUCAUGUCAGCAGGGCUCAUAUCCUGUCUGCUAUGGAACUGCAGAGGCUGUACCAUUUGGAUCCCCCAUCCUAAAUUCUGCCAUGGAAGUGGCCUUUUUACAGCAGAUUGAAAAUAUCAUCCUGAGGUCAGCUUUUGUCAAGGAACAAAGCAGAAAUUUAAAUGGAUUCAGUUCUCAGCCCAUCCUAAUUAUGCAGAUGCACACAGAAAAUAGAAGUACCCUCUCUGCUUCAGGAAUUGGCUGGCAAUCAAAAUGUUACCCUGGGGGAAGAAAACAGAAUUGAAAUGUCUUCUUCAGACAUAAUGCUCUUACUUUAAUGAGCAAGGGGGAAAAAAAUCCCACCUAGCCACUUGCUGUUUUCAUCCUGUCUUUACCGCAAGUGGAGGCAGAGGCACUUCUCUCCGCUUGAGCUCUUUGCUGUCUCGAUUGUGGGUAUAACAUACACAGAUUGCUCUGCCUGGAAAUACUUCAUCUCUCCCCCCCACCCUUCUUCUUCCCCCCACUUCUCUUGCUUUUUUGUGAUGUCACGUUAUAAAAUGAUCAUGAUUCAUUUUGUGGUUGCCAUGGUGAUGCUUGCUAUGCUGGUGUUCAGAUCCACCACAUUUGCAGCAGUCAUUCACUGGGAUGAGUCAGAGAAUGUGGGUUGGAGGCCAAAGCCUGUGUCGGUGAGCAGCUGGGUGAAGCGCACGGACAGUGGCUGUGUUUGCUUCUGCAGGGAGUCAUUUGAGCACCAGGUGAUUUAAGGAGACUGCAAAGGUUCAGGAAGAAAAGGCCAAAAGUGCAUUUACCUCCAGUAAGUUAAUAGUAUAGGUAAAAUACCCUGCUACAGCGCUUUUCACCCAAGAGUCUUAAAGCACUCAGCUGUAUAUCUCCAUGUGAGAUGGGGAGUAUUACCCACUUUUCGCAGAUGGCAAAACAGGGCCAGGGAAGGUUGGGAUGUGCCCCAGGUCUCUCAGAUGGUCUGUGGCAUAGCUGAAAGUAGAAUACUGGUCUUGUGACUCCCAGUGCUGUCCUUCAGCCACAAGGCUACAGCUUGCGGUAUCCCUGCUGCAAGAAAGAACAGGAAGCGGGAGAAGUGUGGUGCAUGGAGAAAUCUGUCGGUCAGGCCUUGAUCCUUCAUGGAAAGCCAGGCAGGUGGAAGACCUGUGAAGUCAGUCAGCCUCUGCAGGAGUGCUGGCCUCUGGCUGCCUGGUUCUCAAUGCAGGAUGAGGUGGUGACUUUGUACCUGAUUUGCCUUCAAAUCUUGACUUUUCGUCUCUAAUCUUUCCCUGCCCUGUAGUUAAAAUGAAUAAAUCAAAGGGGGGGGGAUGGGAAGGGGCUAUUCUGACUUGCUCAAAAGAAAAACUGUUCUUGUUUUUAAACUGUGGCUUAACCUUAUACUCAUGAAAGUGCAGGAGCUAAUAACACGGGUUAGGGGAAGGCUUAUCAGGAGUAGACGCUGUUACAGAAUGUGGGGGAGUCAGGGCCCUGCAGCCCUCACUUCCUCCGAUUCACCAUCACUCCUGUCAGUCAAUAAAACAGAAGGUUUAUUAGAUGACAGGAACACAGUCCAAAACAGAUCUUGUAGAUACAGAGAACAGGACCCCUCAGUCAGGUCCAUAUUGGGGGUGGGUAGGGAGCCAGGAGCCCAGACCUGGGUUCUGGGCCUCCCUCUGUUUCCCCAGCCAGCUCCAAACUGAAACCCCUGCAGCAGUAUCCCCCAGCUACCCCCCCCCCCCCGGCGGCUCCUCCUCCAGUCUUUGUCCAGUUUCCUGGGCAGAAGGUGUCACCUGGCCCCAACCGUCUCCUGGGCUUAGGUUAUGUGCUCAAGUAUCAUCUCUCAAGUGAAGUCACACCUUUGUAUCCCACCAUCAUCUAGUAUUAAUGCAGACAGUAAACUAGUAAAACUCCCAUGCAACAUUACCAGGUUAAUGCUCCCUAUUCCAUCACAGAUGCCAUUCUGUCUUCCUUCAGUAUACAUGAGCACCAUCACUUUGCUGUGUAAAAGAGACUCUAAAACAAAAUGGCCGGGGGGGGAGGGGAGGGGAGAAAAGAAAAGAAAAGCACAAGCAGGAUCCAGCCACCAAGACUAAACAUGUAGAGACAGUGAUAAAUGAAGAAGUAGGCUAAAAAAAGAACUCAGAUUAUUCCAUAUUUGGCCUCAUUAGACAAAUGUGCAGUGACCAAAAGACAUUCAAAUAAGCACUGAAUGCAUAUCUGAAAUGAACCUGAGGAUAUUGACUUGUUCUCUGUUUGGCACAGACCUGCCAUUGUAUAGUGCCAUAAACACUUAGAGAUGCAGUGGGUGAGGUAAUAACUUCAGUUGGUAAAAGAGAGAAGCUAUGGAGCUACACAGAGCUCUUCUUUAGGUCUCCUAUAUGUUUAAAGUACUUUAUAAAUGGUUGGUGAUGAAAACCCAGGUGCAGUGAACCCAGAAGCUUUGCAGAUAUUUUUGGUUCCAAAACAAGUUACUUACCCAGAAUGGAGGGGUCACAACUGACAAUCAGGGCCAGACCUUGUUGUCCCAGUGCAGGCACAAUUCUCAAUCAUUUUGAUGGCAGUUUUGCCUGUAUAAACCUCAGACUGUGCCAUCUUGUUUAUAACUGAGCAAAACUCAUGCUAUUUUUUUUACUGUGAAGUCUCCCCCAGUGAGGAGAAUCCAUCUAUUCCAUUGCACUUCAGUGGGGGUUAAAGUUAUAAGCACCUCAGUAGUCUUCAAACAUUGGCAUCACUGUUUAAGGAGUGUUACAAAUGCAUCUUUUUAUGGGCCUUUCCCUCAACCUCUUUAUAUAUAAUCUGGCUGUUUAAAGAUGGGGAAUGGCAGAACCAUUGAGUUAAAAGAUUUAGCUUCAGAAUUGUAUUUGUUCCUGGAGGUGUUCAGAUCUGCAAUAUAAUGUUUUUAAAUACGGAGCAAUAUCUAAGUGUCCUAUAACUAAGAAGGCUCUUGUACUACUCUGGACAUAGACUUAUCAGCCUUAGCUUGUCCUAGUCACUCAAUGACUAAUGUUGCAAAUUAACAUUUUCCUGUGGCAAUAGAUGUAACAGCGAAGGGCUCAGCCAGCAGCAAGCUGUCUAUUGCAGUAAAUGAAUCUGCAAGCACCUAAUAAAGGAUGAAAAUUCUGCCUUAGUGAAUUAAUGUGGUGGAGAGAUGGCUUCAGAGUUGUCUUUGGUCUCCUAUGAGGCAGUGUAACAGAUGCAGCGUGGUUCCAGUAGGACAUGUAAACUUCCUUACGUCAUGCUUCCACUGAGUCUGCACUUCGUGUUGGAAGGAUCUACCUCUAGGGGUUCAUUCUCUGAGACUCCUUCAGUCCUUUUAGCUCAGAUUGCCCAUAAGGAAGAGUCAGCGCUUCUUUUGUGAUGACAACAUUCAUCGAGUGGAAGCUGAGCUGACCCCAUCAAACUCAAUUCACCCAGCAAGCCAUCAAACAUCUGUCAUAUGGUUACUGCUAAUCACUACUUGCCGGGGCUGAAUUCAGACCCAUCAAGUUAAGAUGUAAGUUAAGGUUCUAUCCAGUUACCCAUCCCGGGAGCCAAGCCUGCCCUUCAGAGGAAAAUAUGUUGUUCGGUAUUAUAUAACAUGAUCUGAAACAUUGCAGCUCAUCUUAGAGAUCCUGCAGCAGCUAGGGCAGCUGCUGCCAAAUACAGUAGUGUUUUUCAUUAGGGUGUUCUCCCUUUUUAUGUACUACCAAAAGAUUUAUUAUAUUAAUAAAUGGCCCCAGAGCAAGAGAAGGCUCAAAUUCAUUCUGAGGUCCUUGCUUAUCUUUAUAAACCACUUGAGCUAAACUCGCACACAUUAUGAAAUCUAUUGUUCCCCUGGAGUGAGCUCUAGUCUUAUGCUCAUGCUCCAGGGCCAUUUGUUAUCUACUAUCUUAUUCUCUGCUUAGGGAGUAAUGCUAUAGUGUAGAAAUGGAACCCCAUUCUUAGAAAUACUGUAUUGCAUACAUAUCCCAGGCCAUUAUGGAAACUGAUUACAAAUGUAACAAAUGUCUUGGUCAAAUAAAUCAUCCAUGUAUCUUAGAGCAUGUGCUUUCCCAA